CUCAGAUUGAACGCUGGCGGCAGGCCUAACACAUGCAAGUCGAGCGGUAGCACAAGAGAGCUUGCUCUCUGGGUGACGAGCGGCGGACGGGUGAGUAAUGUCUGGGAAACUGCCUGAUGGAGGGGGAUAACUACUGGAAACGGUAGCUAAUACCGCAUGACGUCUUCGGACCAAAGUGGGGGACCUUCGGGCCUCACGCCAUCAGAUGUGCCCAGAUGGGAUUAGCUAGUAGGUGGGGUAAUGGCUCACCUAGGCGACGAUCUCUAGCUGGUCUGAGAGGAUGACCAGCCACACUGGAACUGAGACACGGUCCAGACUCCUACGGGAGGCAGCAGUGGGGAAUAUUGCACAAUGGGCGCAAGCCUGAUGCAGCCAUGCCGCGUGUAUGAAGAAGGCCUUCGGGUUGUAAAGUACUUUCAGCGAGGAGGAAGGCAUUAAGGUUAAUAACCUUGGUGAUUGACGUUACUCGCAGAAGAAGCACCGGCUAACUCCGUGCCAGCAGCCGCGGUAAUACGGAGGGUGCAAGCGUUAAUCGGAAUUACUGGGCGUAAAGCGCACGCAGGCGGUUUGUUAAGUCAGAUGUGAAAUCCCCGAGCUUAACUUGGGAACUGCAUUUGAAACUGGCAAGCUAGAGUCUUGUAGAGGGGGGUAGAAUUCCAGGUGUAGCGGUGAAAUGCGUAGAGAUCUGGAGGAAUACCGGUGGCGAAGGCGGCCCCC
rnacentral:rRNA from 1 species